GAUGAACGCUAGCGGCAGGCUUAACACAUGCAAGUCGAGGGGCAGCGUAAUGAAGUAGCAAUACUGAAUUGACGGCGACCGGCGCACGGGUGCGUAACGCGUAUGUAACCUACCCUUAACAGGGGGAUAACACUGAGAAAUUGGUACUAAUACCCCAUAAUAGUUUGGAGGGCAUCCUCCGGAUUUGAAAGUUCCGGUGGUAUAAGAUGGACCCGCGUCUGAUUAGCUAGUUGGUGAGGUAACGGCUCACCAAGGCGACGAUCAGUAGCCGGCCUGAGAGGGUGAACGGCCACAUUGGGACUGAGACACGGCCCAAACUCCUACGGGAGGCAGCAGUGGGGAAUAUUGCACAAUGGGCGCAAGCCUGAUGCAGCAACGCCGCGUGAGGGAAGACGGUCUUCGGAUUGUAAACCUCUGUCCUUGGUGAAGAAACAUGACGGUAGCCAUGGAGGAAGCCACGGCUAACUACGUG
rnacentral:rRNA from 1 species